GAUCUUUAGCAUCUAAAAGAAGCAAUUGACUCAUGAUAGCAUCAGCGACGAAAUCGUCGAUACUACUACCAAGAAAGACGAUUCGUUCCCUAAGAAGAAGACCCAUGACGUCAGAUUCAGCUCCGCGAAUAGCUGAUUCCUGUGUCUGUGACAUCUCGAUUGAAGCAUUGGCGAAUCUCAAUGGCGACGGAGAAGUUGUUCUGAGAGGUGGUGAAAUGAGUUUGGUGGGUUUGAGGUAGAGAUUGUUUGGUUUAGGAAACGAAGAAGAAGAUGCAGAGGAAGAUGAAUUGAGUCUUGAUGAAACGAGAGAAGGUUUUAGAGAAGAGGAGAGAGAUAGGGUUCCCAUGGCUGAAGCAAAGAAGAAUAGAGAAAUUUGGGAAAAAUGUGGAUUUGAUAAAAAAACAAACUCCUCCUUCGGAAGAAGAAAGAAACACGCGAGAAAAUGACCCGACCCGGAAUUUAACCGGGUCAAUUCCGGGUCGGGUUAUUAUUCUAAAUUGGACUACUUAAUCAAGUUACGGUUUAUUGGGCCCUGGCCUAUUUUAGUAUGCGAACCAGACCGAAUUGAGUUCGACGAAAGCACACCAAACCAAACUACUGUAUGUUAAUUUAAACCCGUAUCUAAUCAAAACCGAAUUAUGUCAAACGUUCCAAAGCUAAUCAACUGAAUUAAACAAAAAAAUUAGACGUUAAUUGGACGUUGAAAUAAUUUUCUGGUUAUAAAAACUUCCCGGUGAAAAAAAACAAUUUGAUUUUAUAACAAUAGCUUCAACUAAUCACACAAAUGACAAAGCCAAACCAAAUGAACCAAAAUCCUUAUCCAACUAACCCCAUUGUUUCACAGUCUGUUGUUUGUAUAAUACAUACACUUUUCAAAGAUGUUGAACACAUUAUACAAACGGAGAUAGCUUUGAUAUGAUUCACACAAACAAGAAAAGACAACCAAACAAAGCAUAUAAACAAAAAGAAAGUAUCAUUAACCUUUUGUGUACCCAAUAUGAUAUUUCUUCAACGUUCUUCAUCGGUUUUCUUGGUCUUCUCAAGUUCAAGCAAAUAAAUCUUCUCAGCUUCUGGUACAGCCAUGGUUAAAGCUCGAAGCCUAUGGUUCAAGUCAUCAAGCUUGUUCAUUACCCUAUCGUUUGUGAACAUUCCCAUACAAACACUCUUGAUCGUGUCCCAACUUUCGACCAAUGGCAAACCAAUGAUCACAAUGGAUCCUAUAGUUCCCCAAGCUACCGCCACAAUUGCCCAAAACCAGAAAUAUCCUCUACUAAACACACCUGCAUGCAAAAAAAAUCAAAAUUUUGAUUGAUGUUCAUGAUUUAGGCUCUCUUGUUAGUAACCAAUUUUUGAACAAGGUUAACUUAAAUUCAAAAAAAAAAAACAAAACCAAAAAAAACGAUUUAUAUGGGAAGACUUACGUGCUGGGAGAGAGAGAACUGGCCAAAUGAUAACAAUGAGGACAGUGAAGACAAGACCCCAUUUCACAAUCCAAGCUUUGGCUCUUCUAAGCUUCUCUUCUCUUAGUUCUUCGGCCGGAACAUCAACUUCUUCGUCCCCUGAAGCAUCAGCUUCCACUACUUUGAUCUCCCUCGUCGUCGACCAAUCGUAAUUUUGUGGCCGGAGUAGACUACACACCGCAUGGAUCAACCCUCCUAUAUAUUAUUUACACGUACGGACCAAAACAAACCAAGAUUAGGUCUUUGUUUAUGUUUUAAACCAUUAUAAUAAAAAUCUAAAUAAUUUAUGUCAAGCUAAACCGAACUGACUGAACUAUAAGAAUCUGACCUGCUAGAAUUGCGACGAGGUUACCAGCUAACAUGGGGCCAUUUUUCCCAGUGCUGUCAAGAUCAACGCGUCCGUACUGUAUCUUUGCGGUAGAAAGCCAAGUAAUGAUCCCAAGAACACAACCCGAGGUGGAUCCAAGAAUUGCACCAAAGGCAUUGGCUUUACUCCACAAGAGCAUGAAAGCUAUAGGAAUGACCGCAGAACCAAUGAGCACUCCCAUGCGAGAUACAUCCAUCCAAGUGAAACACCAGACUUUGUUCUAGACCACUGCAAGAAUCCCCAUGAAACAACCAAAUCCUAGAACCGCGGAUCUUGAGAUUCUCAAGAUUUGUUUACCGGUUGCUCUAGGGUUUAUGUAUGUUCGGUAGAUGUCGUAUGUGAACAGCGAUGAGACUGCAAUUAGCUCGGAAGAACCAGCCGAUGUUACAGCCCUAAGGAUCAACAAAGACCGUAAAUUAAACUCAUGAUUUGCAAUAAGCAUAUAUCUUUGUAUGUUAACUAGCUAGGUUUAUUGUUUAAGAAUAAACCAAGACAGCUUAUAAAAAAUUUCUUGCUCGUAAAGAAAGAGGGCUUAUGAUUAGGGUAAAAAUGGGAUUCUUGCUUGUAGGUAUGCGUAUUUGAACUAAACGAACCAAACUGAAUUGAAUUAAUUGAAUCAAACCGGAUCAAAUUGACUAGUUAGUUGGUUACUGAACAAAAUUUUGAAAACGAAAACUUAUUUGUAACAAAUUUUUGUAACCGAUCCAAAAACUAAGCGACCUAAAUCAGACCAAAAUUUUGUUAAACUAAACCAGUGAUGCGUUAAAAAUGAUUCCUAAAAAUCAAUUGAAAGAACUAAAUAAAGUAAAUCAGAUACCCAAACAUUUGUGCUAAAAACUUAUUUAUAUAUAUAUAUAUAUAUAUGAUUUAGAGAGAGUGUACUUACAUGAACAGCAUAGUGAGAAGAAGCAAGGAUCCUGAUUUACCCAUGAGAGCAAUGGCUGUGGCAGGCGGAACCAAACCUCUGUCAGCCUCAUCCUUAGAUAUAGGCAAGUCAAGGGCUAGUGCGCCGAGACCUAACGAGGUAGCUAGAGAGAAAGGUACAGCAAACCACACGAGUCCACCAAGCAAAUACCCUUUGUGGGUUGAUGAAGGUCGAGCAGCUAUUGCACUCACCCAAUAACCCUAAACAACAUAUAACAUUUCAUUGUUAAUUAUUAGUAUUUAGUAUAAUCCGUAAAAUAACUAUUUCAACUUUUUGUUUAAGGAUUUCAUCCCAUCCAGAGUUUUCAUGAUUUACGACUUCGCCAUUUCUAAUCAUGAUAUGAUCUUGAAUGGGUGUAGUUUAUUAUGACUUUUUGGAUUUUGUUACUAAAUAAACAACUAAACAUACUUAUAAUAAUCCAGCUACUUUUUAGAAAUUUGAUUUUCUUAAAGUCUCCUAAAAACCAGGGAAAAGUUUUUGCUUUCUUUACUCUUUCUAGUUUCUAUAUGCAAAAACCAAAAACUCUUCAACUGGUGUUUGAUAUUAAAAUCCUAUGGCAAAAACUAAAACUAAAACGAAAACCAAAAGAUAAUUAAACUAAAAUACUUCAUUGUAAAGAAAUCAUCUUACAUUGUCUACGAAGACAGUGCCGAAGUUUCCGACAAUGUUGAUGAGACCAAAGACAGCGCCGCCAGAGCUCAACAUGGUGAGAUAGGAGCCUCUGUAGUUGCCAUCCACCGGACCGCAAGCUUGAUCGUGGUGCGAGAGCGGCUCGGUGCAUGACCUUGACUUAGCGACCAUAUCUCUUAGUCGGUCAUAGACCACGGACGGACUCCCAAGCUCACUACUCGAUGUGUAGACCAGAAACACAAAAACGACUAGAGCCACGUGAACUGAAAACAAACGAAUAUGAUCAUACAAAGAUAGUAAAACAACAAUUUAUUUUAAGGUCUCUCUCAUUUUGUAUUAGGGUAGCAAAGCAUUAAUUAUUUACGGUUACAUAUAGAAAUAAUUUUAGUUUCAGCCAUAAUUGUUCGUAAAAAUAUCAUACUUAAGAUAUAUAAUUAAAAUGUAAUUUACCUAUAACGGAGUGAACGUAGCUUGCGAGGAAAGUAGCUUUAAGUCCUCCGGCCAAAGUAUAGACAACGACGCCGAGAGGAAUAAGAAAGCUUGCAGCGUAUAGAUUCACUCCGGUAAGAGCAUUCACCACAGCCGAGCCACCGAGCAAGAGCAUCGCCGUCACAAUGACGUUUGUCGCCAAACAAAACACCAAAAACACUAUAUGUGUUGCGGUUCCCCAACUAAUUUUAUCAAUAACAUACAAAACAAAUUAACAUCUAACUAAUAACAACCUAAAAUUAAUGCUCGAGCAAUUUGCUCUACUGUUUCGGAAAUGUUAUCAAAAAACCAAAAUUUAUUGGCCCUUAUAAUACUUAUUCUGUUUAGUUUGGUACACGAAGUAUUUUAAUUUGUUUGAUUGAGUCGGGUUUUUAUUCAACAAAUUUGAAAAUUAACCCAAAAUAAAUAAAUUUAAGGUAUACUUAUAAAAUUAGUAUUAUAAAUAUUUAAAUUUAUUUAAUAAUAUUGACUAAGCAAAUAAAAAAUAAUUGUUGGUUUAAUUUGAGUUAGUUCGGUUUUACAUACCGAGCCUUCACGAUUUCGCAGACCGUGUGAGCAUUGGGAGCCUUUCUUUUAAUCUCAAUCGCCAUCACACCAAACAACAGCACCUACUUCGUUCAUCAAUCAUCAUCGAUUAUUCAUUAUGCAUAUAGAAACAAAAUUUAUAUUAAUGUAUAGUUUUUGUUUUUGGAAUUACCUGUAUGGUGGCUCCACUAGCGUACCAAAACGGUCCACUAACCCCAUACUGCCAUGCUACGUUUGAACUUUGCAGUAUGGUCGCAGCCCAUGUCCACUAUUCACUCAUCGACCAACAUAUUUAAAUCAAUACAUCAAAGAACAUCGAGUGUUUUAUAACUUUAUAUCAUCAAUUGUCUUAUACUUACCUGUGACACAAUGACACUUGCAAUGAGUCCUGUCUUAACGUUUCUUCCGGCUGUAUUGAACCAUUCCGAGGUAUGACGAGCUCCCACAUAUCGUUUUUCUAGCCAUACCUUCAUUCAUUUAGUCAGGAAUAUAUCAUGGAUGAUCAUGGUGGACUUAGGAAAAUAUUCUAUUCAAAAAACUGAACUGAACAAUUGAUUAAAAUUCAGUUCCAAUACAAAAUCAAACCAAUCUAAUAACUAUAUAUCUGUUUAGCUUGGUAUAAUUGUAUAACCAAAAAAAAAAAAUUUAAAAAAAUACUGAAUGGUCUGAACCAAAAUCGAUAUGAAAAAACUGAAUUUAAGACUCCUAUAGUGAAGUAUUGCACUCAACCAGAUUAAGAAACUGUGUGUUUGAUUAGUUUUUAAUGCUAUGCUCUAUUUCAGUCUUCAGAUGAGUAUUAGAUUAGUUUUUUUUUUUUUUUUGUUUCUUCUUAUAAAGUCAAACUCUUGUAUUUGUUUUGUUUCAUAAUUUUUGAUCAUCCAGAAUUUUCAAAAUACAAGAAAAGAAGAUAUAUAACUAUAAGAGUAUAAUUUAUAAAUAAUUUGGCUACACAAAGUUAUACACUACACGGUCGCCAUAAUAUAUUCAUACUUAAUAGGCCAAAAAAGAUUCUAUCAAGACUUGAUUGAUAUAUACUAUAUAGAUAAUCCGAUUAAUAUCUACUUUAAUAAUUUAAAGUUUUAGAACAAAAAGCCAAAAAAAAAAAGAAUAAGCAACGUCUAGUCUGGUAUUACUAAACAAUGAAAAUUAGUAUCUUUUGUUUUAUUGGUAGUACAAAUCAUAGAAGAGAAUAUAUCUACUCUUUUUUUUGUGGUCACGAGCAAAUCACAGAAGUUUUCUUGCUUUUCAUUAGAAAAUAAUUCGUAAUUCAGAAACAGAAACUAACCAAAAAAGAUGUGAAGAUGGCAAAGAAAGCACCAAAACCAAGAAUCACGGCGUAGCCAACGCCUUGAUCGAGCACCGUCGUGCCUCCGAAGAAGCUGCUCUGCCUCUGGCAUCCGCCGCCGUCACCAUCGUAAUAUUUGGCAGAGAAAUCGAAAGGAGGACAUGUGGCCAUUCUUCUUCUUCUUCUUCUUCUUCUUUAAGUUUUUAUCGGAUAAGUGAAUUUUCUUAUGGAAUUUGUAGGGAGUGAUAGUUGAAAGAUUCUUCCCUCUUGUAUAAAACUAAUAGCUAAUAGAAAGAAUCUUCAGUUAGAAAGAAUCUUGAUUUAGCAAAACAGGAAUCUUAUAAACUUAUAAAAAAGAAAUUGAAUCUUUUUUUAUUGUUGAGUAACCAAUUCCUAAGAGAUGUAUAAGAGAUGCUACCCACACAAAUGAUCAGAAAUUAAAAUAUUUAGAAAUUGUUACCAUUAUUGGUGAUGAAAUGGGAGAAAGUCAAUAAUUCCGUACUUCAAUAAGUCAAUGAGUUUUGUUUAUUUGCUAUUUAAUGGCUUCCACUUGAAUAAUAAUGAUGUCAUCAGUGAUCUAAGUACUCGUAAGAAACUUAUAAGUUAUAACUUUCAUUUUUUUUACUAGGUCAGUACCUACUUGUUAAUACUUUUUUCAACAAUUAUAUUUGAUGAAAUAUGUUCAGAAAUCUAAAACCGAUGAAACAGAAUUGACAUUAUCUGAAUAUAGUUUGGCACUAACUACUAAAACAUCUAUCUUGGUUACUCGAAAUGCGUGGGAUGUAAGAUAGUAUAAAUUAAGAAUAUAUAUUGAUUCUUGAUUCUCAUGAGCUCGUCUAUGUCUGUGACAAAACGUUUGCUAUUUGUCCCAAAACGUUUGACAAAUUUAUGACUUCAUUGUCACAAAACGUUUGCUAUUUAGGGUUUGCCCAUAAGUUUUAUAUAUUUACGAAUUCACCCCUUAUCUUUUGGUAUUUACAAAAUUUGCCACAUAUCUUUUGCUAUUUACAAAUUUGCCUCAUAGCUUUGACUAUUUACGAUUUUGCCCCACAUCUUUUAAUAUAUACGAUUGUGCCCCACAUAUUUUGAUAUUUACGAAUUCGCCCAAAAUUUUUGAUAUUUACGAUUUUUCCCCACAUCUUUUAGUAUUUACGAUUUGCCCCAUAUCUUUUGCUUUUUACGAUUUUUUCCCCCAUCUUUUGGUAUUUACAAUUUUGCCCCCAUCUUUUGGUAUUUACGAUUUGCCUCACAUCUUUUGGUAUUUUCAAAUUUUCCCUUUAUCUUUCGGUAUUAAUUUGCCCCAGAUAUUUGGUUAUUUACGAAUUUGCCUCUCAUCUUUUGGUAUUUAAGAACUUGCCUCACAUCUUUUGAUAUUUAAGAAUCAGCCCCCCCCCCCAUCUUUUUGUAUUUACAAUUUUACCUCACAUCUUUUUGUAUUUACAAUUUUACCUCACAUCUUUUUGUAUUACGAGUUUGCCCCACAUCAUUGGGUAUUUACGAAUUUGCUACACAUCUUUGGUAUUUACAAUGUUGCCCCACAUCUUUUGGUAUUUACGGUUUUGCCCCCACAUAUUUUGGUAUCAACGCAUUUGCUCCUUACCUUUUGGUAUUUUGCUAUAUUCAUUUCCAGUCAUCGAAUUUGGCCACUGUUCUUGAUUCCUUUUAUCUAAAUUUGAGUUUAAAAUAUAUGGCAGGUUUACCUAGCAAUUUGAUGUUAUGAAACCACCCAGUCUUAUCUAAUCUAGACAUCUUUUUUUCCAUAGUUGAAGUUGCGCUACCAAAAAAGAGGGAGAAGUUUUAUUUUGAAUUGUUUAUCGUUUAUAGAAUCAAUGUUUGAACUCGAAAAAAUUGUAUGAUUUGUUUUUGUCCGACAUUAACUACAACUAUCCUUUUCUUUACCUGUUCUUAAUUUAUUUACCAGUCUCAUCUCUGUAAAUCAAAGGUUCUGAGAUUCUUACACCACUAGAAGAAGCAAUCUCAUUCCCAGAUACUGUUGUUUGUUGUUCUCUAUAAGAUGCCCAAGUAACCAUAUAAAGCCCGCAAAUGAUGAGGAUUCCGCCCAAAAUGCUGCGCAGAGAACGAAAAUUCAAAGUUUUUAUAUGAUCCAAUACAAGAAGAAGAAGUUUGUUUGUGUGUAAAAUUUAAAGACCUUCCGAGAUAGAUCGGGCUGCCGAGGAAAAUCGUUGAUAAAAAGGCGGAUGUUGCAGGCUGAAGAGGAUUGUAUAGAGAAACCAAAGCAGCUCCAAGAAUUUUAUUCGACCAAGUCAAGAGUCCAUAGUUUAGAGCUGACGCAAACACUCCCUGAGGAACAAAAACCGAAAAGAAUAAUAACACAAACUAGUUAGGUGAAUCCGUAUAUACCGAGCUCCAAUCUCUUUGAGUUCCAAGUUCCAAAUCUCCAAUCUUUUGUAUCAAACAAACCGAAAAAAACAUGCUACAUCUCGGUUGUGAAAACUUACUGCGAAUAUAACAGCAAGAACUUCAGAUUGUGUUAAGCUCCAAUCUUUAGGCUCUCUAACAAACAAGAUAGCUGUUGUGAUCAUUAUUGAUGCACCGAAGAAGUAUGAAUACGCAGCAACCGAAAGGUAGGCAGGAUACUUCUUCAAAACCGGUGCUUGGACAGCGAGAAAAGCAGCCAUACACAUACAAUUUCCUAUCAAGCAUAUAACUCCAAUGUGCCAUAGAUCAAACCCAAACCCAAGAAAACUAGAGAUUAACCACCCAUUAGGCUCUGGUUGACUUCUAUCAAUUAUUACACUUUUCACUGAAUCUACUGCAUCUUUACCUCCAAACAAGGCUGGACCACGGAACAAAGCCAUCGCUAUGGCACCCGAAACACAAACAAGAGUACCUCCAACUUUCGUUUGGCCCUCGAUUUUAAACAAGUUCACUUUUUCUGUACUGCAUACAAAGAAGAAGACUAUCAAAUGACUGAAAAUACAAAUUUCACAUUUUACAGUAAUGUUGAAGAAAAUCAUACUCACCCCAUCAUCACAGCCAAAAUAAAUGUAAAGACUGGGAUUGACGGUUGUAUAGCUGCGGCAUAAGUUGGAUUCGUGUACGAUAAACCCAUAAGAAAUAGUAAUUGGUUCCCAAAUAUCCUAUCAAGAUUGAGUUUGAAUGGUAUUAGAACCUUUUUCAUAAACAUGAUUUUAAAGAUUACGAUAUCAGAGCUGAUUACACUUACCCUGCUAAACCAAGAAAGAAGAGUGAAAAGAACACGCUUCUAUUCAUAGGAGGUCUGAUUCUUCUACAAGAUUUAAAAGAGCAAAUCUUGAUCAAAAGACAACAUUUUGGCAAAUCUUGGUCAAAAGACAAAUUUUCCCAUAUCUUGAUCAAAAGACAACAUUUUGGCAAUUCUUGCUCAAAAUAAAAUUUUUGGCAAAUCUUGAUCAAAAGACAAUAUUUUGCCAAAUCUUGAUCAAGAGAGUAAGAGAAUAAAAACCCUAACUCCAAUUCAAGAAUGAUCAAGAUAUAUGUUGAUUUUGCCGCAUAUAAACUCACCAAAUCAAUCAGAAAUUGCAUUGACCAAAUAAAAAUGUGAUUCAGAACCAGAAGACACUUCACAGAUUCAAACAAUUCAAGCAAAUUGAGAAAGAAACAGAAAGAUUUUGGAAAAAAAUAGAACCUUUCACGGAAAAAAGCGAGAGGUGCGAGAAUUGAGAGAGCAAGAAGAUCGCGAAAGACACAAAAGACGAGCUGAUUAACACCAACGUUAAGAGCUACUUUCGUAAUCACAUGGUAACCUCCAUUUAUGACCUGAACCAAUGUCAUUGCAGAGUGAGCCAUUCGUGUUUCUCUCUCCGUCGCAUCGCCGCCGUUAACUAUCGCCGGAGCUGCCAUGUUUCUUCUCUACCUCCGAAUCGAAGAAGAAGAAGAGAAGAAACACCUGUUGACUAAGAAGAAAUUGAGAUCCUUUGAUUUGCUUUGUAAUAAUUCUAUCUUCUCUGGUCUUUGUAGUCGUUGGUCUUCUUCAAUUUGUUAACUAUGUUUUUUUAAAGUUAAUACAAAAAAAAAUAGCCAGAUUAUUUUCUUAAUCUAUACAUUAAAGCCUAUCGCACAUUUGUUAAAUAUGUUCAUAUAUCCUACUUUUAAAAAAUGAAAAUUCUGAAAUAUUUCCACACAAAAGAAAGUGUAAUAUAUAUUUACAGUUUAAUACUGAGGUUGGUAAAAUAUGUCUUUGUUAUGUAGAUUAGUGGAUGGUAAAAUGAUAAUUUCUUAAUUACUUCAAUUUUUAUCAAAUGAUAUAGUAAUGUGGAAGUCCCAUUGGUCUAUUGGUUGAUCAAGAGUUAAUUAAUGUUUUUACGUCUAAAGGUCUGGAGUUCGAAUAAAUCUGGAUUAAUGACGUCGUUGAGUAAUAACUAAUAAAUCUAGUUAUUACUCAACGACGUAACAGUUAUAGAGAAAACAAAUUAUUAACGACGUCUAUGAGUAAUAACUAAUAAAUCUAGAGAAAAAAAAAAGUUAAUUUGGCCCGAAUAACGUCGUUAAUAAUUCUAAAAAAUGUCGGUAUUUUAAUCACGUUUAGAAAGUUAAUUUGGAUUAAUGACGUUAACUUUAACGAUAAAGGAGGAGGGUUAGGGUUAUGGGCUUAUUAUUAUAUAUAGCCCAUUUAGGUUAUUCGGCCCAUUUAUCAAAAUCAUUCUGCCUGAGUUCGUCUCGAAUCUCACGCCACCGAUUCCCAUCGCCAACCCUCUCGUCUCUCUCUCUCUCUAAUCCCUUCCUUGGCCGCAUAAACGCAACCAUCGUCGCCCGAGCUUUGAUCUUUACCGACUGAACAAUAUGUCUGUUUCCGAUGAGGAAGAUGAGUGUUUCGCUCGAUUCCUCGAAUCAGAAGUCUCAUCGGUAAUUGGUUUCUUCGUUUAUUCAAUUCUUCGAUUUCAUUUAGGGUUUAGUGUUUUUUUUUUUUCCCCCGACAAUCUUUUGGAAUUUAUCGUUGAAUCUGAAACCCUAUCGAAAUUUUUUAUUUUCCCUAAAAAAAAUCUCAUUUUGUGAGAUUUUCGACAACUUAUUAGAUUAUAUAAAUUGGAUUUUUUUCGUGUAAUUCAUAAUUGAUUUGUUUGAUCGAAUUUGGAUUUGGUCGAUCUUACAUGCAUUGUGAAUUGAUGAUUUAGCUCUUGUUCAACAUUUUCAUGUGAAAGGUUAAAGUUUUAUUGAUGCUUUGGUUUUUGUAGGUAGAGGAUAAAGAAGAAACGAAAGAACCUGAAGCGAAACGGCAACGUAUUGAGAAAGCCGAAACAAAGGCUCUAGAGAAGGAUGAUGAAGAUCAAAAGGAAGAUGGUAACAAAGAUAGAACUGGUGAAAAGAGAAUAGAGAGUGGAGUUUUCAGUAAUGUUCCUACUGAGCUGUUUCGUCAUAUCCUCAAGUUCUUAUCUUCUGAGGUAUAUAUAUACUUCAGACUCAAAUUUUAUUGUGUAGUCAUGAUCUUUGAGGAUUAAUCUUAAUCUAAACUGUUUGAAUGUCAUUACAGGAUCUUGUAUCAUGCUCCUUGGUGUGUAAAUUUCUCAAUUUUGCUGCGGCUGAUGAAUCCUUAUGGCGUCGCCUGUAAGACUCUUCUCAUAUUCCUUAUUGUAGUGGAUAAUGGUGUUUUCAAAAUCAAUACUUUGUACUCAAAAACGAUGUGAUACGGUUAUUGAUUGUGUUUUUUUUUUUUUUAUAUCUGCAGCUACUGUAUCCGGUGGGGUCUAACUCCUCCAACUAGAAAGUUACGUGAAAGUGCUUGGAAGAAGCUUUAUAUUGAUGUGAGUUUCUCACUUGGUUUUCCUUAUAAACUUGUUAGUUAUUUCCAAGUAAUAUUACAUUGUUGAAGAGUAUACAAUGUUAGCUGGAGUUGCUAUUAGAGGUCAGAUCAUAUAGUGAUUCCUUUUUCUUGUCGAAUAUUAGCGUGACGAGCAGGACAUGAUUGAACUUGUCAGAACCUGUCCUUCGGAUUUUAAAGAGUAUUACAUGCAAAUGCAAGCAGCAAAGAGAAGCCAAGCACCUCUUCCGUCCCAGGUAACUAUUUCUAAUUCUCUGUUUAUGUUUAAGCACGAAUCAUCACUUGACGAAUUUACUCAUGUUCUUGCUUGCAAUGUUUAGAUGGUGGAUGACCGGAUAAUUCUUGACAAAACUGUACUUGAACAAGUAUCUCUGUGGAAGAAAAGCAAAGGACUUACCGAUAAGGCUGUCACUGGCCAUAUUUGUUUGGGAACCAAAUGUUCAUACCAUCAGAUUGACGACGUGUUCAUAUGCAAAGAGACGGGAAAUGUUCAUGGUAUGAAUUGAAAUGCUGUAAUAUUGAAAAUUUGUUACUUGUGUUUUGUUGAAACUUACGUAGUUUUUAUUGGGUUUUAUAACAGUAUGCGAUGAUAACUGCAAGGAAGUAAUACUGAGUCCAGAGGAAGACCUCAUGGUGUGUACUAUCUCAGGACUUUGUUCUGAUACUUUGCUCGUACAAACUGAUCCAGACGCAGAUGGGUGUUAUGAAGAAGAAGCUGAACUAGAAGCUGAAGUAUUCAUGGAUAAAAGUCGAUUGGGUACUUAUCUAUCUAUCUCUCUCUCACACACCUCCUUUUCCAUAUAUUCUUAAAUUUUUCAACAUAUAAGUGAACGGUUUGCGUCUUCUUUUCAUCGCAGCACGAGCUUUUGAACUUGGCUACAACUGCGAUGAUGAGCAGGAAUUGGAACGUACCCUGAGGUUCUGCUGAGCAAAAGUCUCAGCCUUUUGUCCAAUUUCAUAAGGCCUACUUUCUGUAAGGUCUUAUCUCUCUCUCUCUCACCUGAUUCUGCUUGUGUUCUAUGGAUGGAAUUCAAUGAAUCAAAUGUAGCUCUUGUUUUUAAUAGUCAGCUUUGUAACUUAUAUACAUAUUAUCAUUGUCUGUGAUCUAUCUACUCUAUUGUCUUUAAAAAAGUGUUACACCUAGUAAUUAAGUUCCAACUUUAUCAGUAAACCCUAUUGAUAACUACUAGUAAUUUGUUCCGGAUAUUGGUUUGCUCAUUAAUUCCUAUAGCCAUUCUUUGUUCAUUUAAAUCAUCUUACAAAUUUGUUCUGCUUAGAACUGAUUUAUGAUGUCAAAUAGAUAGAAGUUCAAAAUGAAGUUUAUAACAAUUUUAUAUUCUAUAAAACUAUACAUCAAUUAUCACCAGUGAUGUGUUUGAAUGAAAAUGAAGUGAUAGUAAUAAAUUUUUGAUUUUAUAGAUAAGUAUAAAGUAUGAAUGGUUUUAGAAAAUCUUAGUAUUUAGUUAGAUUAACAUAACCAUAACUAGAAAAAAUAUUUAUUUUUAGGAUAUUUUUCUUUAAUAAAUCAUUAUACACAUUGCCUAAAAAUCAAAAAAGUACUAAUAAAAUAAAAAAUGUUUUAAUAAGGAUUUUCUGUAGAUUCGAUUCUUUUGCAAAAGUGCAAAUUAAAAGACAUUAUAUAUCCCCUACGUAAAUAGAAUCACGCGUCCAUUGCGCGUUCUUGUAACGCUAAAGAUUUACGUUGGAAAAUGUUCUCAUAUUUCUCUCCUUUGCCCCCAUAGUUUAAUAUAUUUCAUAAACACCCCCACGAGAGAUUAAGACUCGUUCUAAAUUAGUAAAUUGUAUUAAAAACAACAAACAAAAUUUCAAGAAAAUAUUCAAUCUAUAAGCAAAACAUUGGUAGUGUUACAUUUGUCGUUCUUCGUGUUCAAAAUUUGGAUACCUUUGUCAAUUAUGAAAACUCAAGUGUCAGUUUGUGAUUGAUAGUAAAAUACAAGGACUAAAAAUAAAUAUAUACCUUUUUUGGAAAUCGUACCGCGUAAGAAAACAUGUAUAAAUAUCUCCAAGGUCUUAUUUUUCUCUCUACCAAUUUUGUUUCGACAUAUUUCGCGAUUCGUGUCUGGUGAAAAAAAAGCUCUCAUCUUUUUUCUCUUUUAGAUCGUUAGAUCAGAGAUUCCUUUGUUUGGUUCGUGUAUUUCGAACUUGUCUUCUCUCUUGAUUCGAUCGUAUUGAUUAAAAAAUCGUAUUUUGCUGAAAACCUAGAAUUUUUUUGAUUUUUUGUUUGUUUUGAUCCAUGUGUAUGGGAAUAUAGUACGAGUUUAACAAAAAAUAUUAUGAAUUGAGGUUUUUUAUUCAGCGAACUGGGUUUUAUUGUUCAUCUUCGUUUAAUUCGUUUGGCUCUCUCGAGGUCUGAGUAAUAAAGUUUAGAACUUUCCUAUGCUUAGGUUCUUAAAGUCGAGAUCUUUGAUUAGCCUUUGUCCUGUUAUUGAUUUACUGGUUUAUGUAUCAUCUAAUUAUGUCUGCUUGAUCCACUAAAUCUUUAAGUUAAUGAUUGGUUUAUGCAAUUUGAUUGGGAUUAAUAACAUUGAUCUGUGACCUCCUACUAAUCAGUGAUUAAUUACAUUGCUUGGUUAGGUCAUUACUUGAAUUUGGUGUGUCUGUAUGACCCCCUGAGCUUGAAUUUCAUUCUUGGUUUGCCCUAAAUUGAUGUUUUUUGGGAUGUCUUUUUGUAGGUUUUGUUGCUGAUUGAGAAAACAUGGGAGGUGAUAAUGACAAUGACAAAGACAAAGGGUUUCAUGGGUAUCCUCCCGCUGGAUACCCGCCGGGUCUUGGGGCUUAUCCACCUGCUGGAUACCCACAACAAGGUUACCCUCCACCACCUGGUGCUUACCCGCCUGCUGGUUAUCCUCCGGGUGCAUACCCACCUGCACCUGGUGGUUAUCCUCCAGCCCCUGGUUAUGGUGGUUAUCCUCCAGCUCCUGGUUAUGGAGGUUAUCCUCCUGCACCUGGUCAUGGUGGUUACCCUCCUGCUGGCUAUCCUGCUCAUCACUCAGGUACUGAGUUUCUUUUGCUAAUGUUUUAUCUUCUCCGUUGUAGUUUAAUUAGCAGUAUCGUAAAUUUCACUUUACAAAGAUUAAAUCAUAGAAGGUAGAUAGAACAGAGUAUUUGUCUACAUGUUCCUUGCGAAAAUCUGAGAUUUAGUAUCAUAUUGGUUGUUAAAUGUCACUUUAGAAAGAAGUUGAAACAAAGGAUUGCUGAGAUUACAUUGUCGAUAGUGGGAAUGCCUAGUCAAUUGGCUAAAGCACCGGUGACUUCUCUAUCAAAGGUUUUAUGACAAAUUGGUUAUAUUUUAGUUGUCCAAAGAGUGAACAUGUUAAGUGUUCUCAUGUAUAGAACCAUUCAAUUCAAUGUUUGGUAAUUUGAUACGUACUACUAAUCCUUUUUAUUGAUGUGAGUAUCAUAAAGACAACUUCGCUGACUCUAAUAUGCACUAUAAAUUGUUUUUUCCUUGGGUUUUUUUCUUCAUGCAGUUUACCUUUAUACUUGUUACAGGACACGCAGGAGGAAUUGGGGGUAUGAUUGCAGGUGCUGCAGCUGCCUAUGGAGCUCACCACAUAGCUCAUAGCUCUCACGCCCCUUACGGACAUGCUGCAUACGGUCACGGCUUUGGCCAUGGACAUGGCUAUGGCUAUGGUCAUGGUAAGUUUAAGCAUGGGAAGCACGGGAAGUUCAAGCAUGGGAAGCAUGGAAUGUUUGGAGGAGGCAAGUUCAAGAAGUGGAAGUGAUCUAGUUAAUACCUUUUGUGAAUCUCUCUGGACUGACCAAUGUUUCAAAUAAGCCCUAAAACAUUAUUAUAUAAGUUGGCUUUCGUCGGUUAGAUUGCUGGUUCGAGUUGGAAUAAUUAAACUUAAUUAGUAGUAUGAUAUCUUAUUGUGUACUUUGAAGCUAUUUUUGGCUUUAUAAUGACAGAUUCUGCUGGUUUCGGUGUGUGGUUUUUGAGAUUUUUUUGUAUAUAUACUGAUUUUUAAUAUUGCUUAAGCUUAUGGAAGUCAUGAUUAUGAUCAAUUUGUGAUUUAUUUAGUUUCUCAUUUCUUAGUAUGGAGACCAACAAUGGAAUUGGAAUGUAUUCAAUCAUAACAUUUUAAAUGAUUUGAUAUUUGAUAAAUUGUUGUAGUUUGAUAACUUAAUAUUUUAUGAGUUACAAACAUUAUAAUCAAUAACACUAGAUUUUCGAUAACUUAAUUGAUGAAUGAAAGACAUAAGUUUGUCUAGAGGGGUUUAUUCUCUACACUAUAUGCACAAUUAGGGCUAAAUCACGAUGAGUAUAUAUCAACUUAAGUAGGUCCAUCGCAAAUUCUCUAAUCAAGGUUAGCCAGAAAAAAAAUACAGAGAGAUAUGAUUUUAGGUGAGCAUUUGUGGCAAUGAGUUAUGCCACAUAUGAAAGCUCUGUCUUUGUAGUUAAAAACAGAUAGAUGAUUGAAU
rnacentral:lncRNA from 1 species